rnacentral:rRNA from 1 species
UACGUAGGGUGCGAGCGUUGUCCGGAAUUAUUGGGCGUAAAGAGCUUGUAGGCGGUUUGUCGCGUCUGCUGUGAAAAUCCGGGGCUCAACCCCGGACUUGCAGCGGGUACGGGCAGACUAGAGUGUGGUAGGGGAGACUGGAAUUCCUGGUGUAGCGGUGAAAUGCGCAGAUAUCAGGAGGAACACCGAUGGCGAAGGCAGUGUUCUGGGCCAGUACUGACGCUGAGGAGCGAAAGCGUGGGGAGCAAACAGG